GUGAGUAUUGUCAGCAAUUGAUCCUCCAAAGGUCUCUCUCUCUCUCUUUCAGUUUUCAUUCUGGUUUACUCCCUCGGUCUCUCCACUCUUCUCUCGCCUCCUGCUUACACAAUAACUCCUCCUCCCCACUACCCAUUGUCUCUCUACAGUAUCAGGCUGAGGGGAUGCCAUAGCCUACUCGCUCCAGUGAGGACACAGCCAGAAGAUGAGGAAAUGGAGUCAGAAGGGCUGCACAGAAGACAUUGCACUAAUGGAUGUAGUAUCCUGUCAGAUCCUUAUCCUCCCUCCAGCUGCUCAGUCCCCUAUCUACAUCUGCCUAGAUGCCUAGAGCACGAUUUAAAAACCUGGCAUUCCUCCCUGCCUGGAGAAAAUGCAAUGAGGAGUAAAUGAAACCUGUCUCUGAGAAAACUGCCAGGAGGAUGGGAAUGGCUGCUGUAGCCACUGGGUGUAAUAAUGUAAGACAAUUGUACAAAACGAGGACCCAAGCCCGCCACUGUGAUCUCAUGGGAAACAAACCAAACCCAGACAAAUAGCCUACAUACAGGUAGGUAAACUGGUAAUAGGAUAUUUGUUACUCAGGUCCUAUACUACAGGGCAUAGCUUAGGCCUACCUUUCGAAGCCGGUAAAACAAUAAGCAUCUUCUUUUCUUCUGCAAGCAUGACUGUAUGCUCAAACUUCCACAUUCUUUCUAUGU